rnacentral:rRNA from 1 species
AGGGUUUGAUCAUGGCUCAGGUCGAACGCUGGCGGCGCGCUUAACACAUGCAAGUCGAGCGAGAACCAGUCCUUCGGGACUGGGGACAGCGGCGAACGGGUGAGUAACACGUGGGUAAUCUGCCCUCGAUUCUGGGAUAGCCCGGGGAAACCCGGAUUAAUACCGGAUAGCCUCUCGAGCUUACGAGCUCGUGAGAAAAGGUAGCUUCGGCCUCCGAUCGAGGAUGAGCCCGCGGCGGAUUAGCUUGUUGGUGGGGUAAUGGCCUACCAAGGCGACGAUCCGUAGCUGGUCUGAGAGGACGAUCAGCCACACUGGGACUGAGACACGGCCCAGACUCCUACGGGAGGCAGCAGUGGGGAAUCUUGCGCAAUGGGCGAAAGCCUGACGCAGCGACGCCGCGUGGGGGAAGAAGGCCUUCGGGUUGUAAACCUCUUUCAGCAGGGACGAAGCCACUCGGGUUAAUAGCCCAGAGGGUGACGGUACCUGCAGAAGAAGCCCCGGCUAACUACGUGCCAGCAGCCGCGGUAAUACGUAGGGGGCAAGCGUUGUCCGGAUUUAUUGGGCGUAAAGAGCGUGUAGGCGGCCGCACAGGUCCGUUGUGAAAACUGGAGGCUUAACCUUCAGACGUCGAUGGAAACCGUGCGGCUAGAGUCCGGAAGAGGAGAAUGGAAUUCCUGGUGUAGCGGUGAAAUGCGCAGAUAUCAGGAAGAACACCCGUGGCUAAGGCGGUUCUCUAGUACGGUACUGACGCUGAGACGCGAAAGCGUGGGGAGCGAACAGGAUUAGAUACCCUGGUAGUCCACGCCGUAAACGAUGGGUGCUAGUGUGGGGGGGGGUGUCGACUCCCCCCGU